rnacentral:rRNA from 1 species
ACUCAAAGGAAUUGACGGGGGCCCGCACAAGCGGUGGAGUAUGUGGUUUAAUUCGACGCAACGCGAAGAACCUUACCGGGGCUUGACAUGCACAGGACAGGCGUGGAAACACGCUCUCCCUUCGGGGUCUGUGCACAGGUGCUGCAUGGCUGUCGUCAGCUCGUGUCGUGAGAUGUUGGGUUAAGUCCCGCAACGAGCGCAACCCUUGCCCUUAGUUGCCAUCAUUCAGUUGGGAACUCUAAGGGGACUGCCGGUGAUAAGCCGGAGGAAGGUGGGGAUGACGUCAAGUCCUCAUGGCCCUUACGCCCCGGGCUACACACGUACUACAAUGGCCGGUACAGAGGGUCGCAAUGUCGCGAGACGGAGCCAAUCCCAAAAAGCCGGCCUCAGUUGGGAUCGUAGUCUGCAACUCGACUACGUGAACGCGGAAUCGCUAGUAAUCGCGGAUCAGCACGCCGCGGUGAAUACGUUCCCGGGCCUUGUACACACCGCCCGU